rnacentral:rRNA from 1 species
CGUUGAUUACGUCCCUGCCCUUUGUACACACCGCCCGUCGCUACUACCGAUUGAAUGGCUCAGUGAGGCGUCCGGACUGGCCCAGAGAGGAGGGAAACCACCACUCAGGGCCGGAAAGCUCUCCAAACUCGGUCAUUUAGAGGAAGUAAAAGGUCGUAACAAGG